GAACGAGUACCAGCAGGGGAAAUGCCA
rnacentral:piRNA from 1 species